CGCAGGAAGUAAUACCUCAUUAAGUUAAUCCAAAUAAUGUAUAUUAUCAUUGCAAUUUGGAUUAUACUUGUUUAUCCAUACAAAACGGUACAUUCCAAAUGCAUUUUCACAUUAAACAUAUUAGGAGAUAAGGAGGCUGAUUGUACUUACCAAGGAUUAACAUCCGUUCCGACAAACUUACCGUCUCACUUAACGAAAUUGUAUUUAAGUCAUAACAGACUGAAACGACUAAAUGCCAACAGUUUUGAUAGAUAUAAGAAUCUAGAACAUCUAAUACUCGAUAAUAAUAUAAUACAUUGUUUGGAUGCGAAAGCUUUCACCGGUUUAACAUUAUUACGACGGUUGUCAUAGAUAAGAAAUAA
rnacentral:lncRNA from 1 species